rnacentral:lncRNA from 1 species
CGGAGAUUAAUUGGCACAGCUGCUAUCCGUUUCCCGCCCCAGCAGCCCCGCAUUAUAGUCAAAAACGCCGUACAACGCAUCCCGGCUUUCCCUUACCUCUGAAACCGCAGCAGCCGCCUUCUUCGGCGCGUGCAAGCCCUCCAACACCACCUUCACCUUGCCGUACACAUCGUCCGGAGCCGCCACAGCGCUGAUCACGUGGCACUUGCCCUGCGCAAGGUAGUGGUCCUUCACAGGCAGCGACUGCUCCAGGAAGGUGUGGAAGCGCUUGCGAAUGGUGUCGGCGUUGUCGUCGCUGCGGCCGCUGGUCUCCCCGCGCUUCAGCAGGCGCUUCUCCAUCUCCUCCUCCGGGCAGUCAAAGAACAGCACCGUCUUGCACGGCAUAAUGCUGCUCUCAAACUGCUCCGCCUGGUCCAGCGCGCGCGGAAAGCCGUCGAUGAGGAAGAACUUGCCACCGCUGGCUAUCAUGUCCCGCUUCAGCAGGUUGAGCGUGACAGCCACCGGCACGAGCUUGCCCUCCUUCAUCAGCGCCUCGCACUUCUGGCCGACCUCGCUGCCGCUCUUCACCUCAGCGCGCAGCAGGUCGCCGGCGCUGAGGUGCACGCACUCGUAGUCGGCCUUAAUCUUGUCGCAUUGCGUGCCCUUGCCGCUGCCGGGGCCGCCGAGCACGAACACGAUCUGGGCAUCGGCAGGCAGGCUGCCAGGCACAGGCGGCAGCGCGAUGUCCUGUUGCAUGAACGGAGAGCACAGAAGGAGGCAAGACGUUUCAGUUUUACAGUGACCAAACAUCCACUUGGCGCUACGGCCCGAGUGCUUCCCAAAGCACCCAUAGCAUCCUGCUGUCGCAUACAGCGCUGUGCGCAUCCCGAAAUUAAAGCCCCAACAAUUGGACAUAAGACAAGCCCAUGUCCAUUCACGACCCAAAUCUACGUGCUCAGGUCACGGCGCCGCAAAGUCCACCCAAGCAAAGCCCCACCCACCUCGGACUUCUUGGGUGCGCCCAUAGCGUCCAGCGCCGCCUUCACCUUGCCGUACACUUCCUUUGGGGGAGGGACAGCGCUGAUCACGUGGCACUUGCCCUGCGCAAGGUAGUGGUCCUUCACAGGCAGCGACUGAUCCAGGAAGGUGCGGAAGCGCUUGCGAAUGGUGUCGGCGUUGUCGUCGCUGCGGCCGCUGGUCUCCCCGCGCUUCAGCAGGCGCUUCUCCAUCUCCUCCUCCGGGCAGUCAAAGAACAGCACCGUCUUGCACGGCAUGAUGCUGCUCUCAAACUGCUCCGCCUGGUCCAGCGCGCGUGGAAAGCCGUCGAUGAGGAAGAACUUGCCGCCGCUGGCUAUCAUGUCCCGCUUCAGCAGGUUGAGCGUGACAGCCACCGGCACGAGCUUGCCCUCCUUCAUCAGCGCCUCGCACUUCUGGCCAACCUCGCUGCCGCUCUUCACCUCAGCGCGCAGCAGGUCGCCGGCGCUGAGGUGCACGCACUCAUACUCCUCCUUGAUCUGAUCGCAUUGCGUGCCCUUGCCGCUGCCGGGGCCGCCGAGCACGAACACGAUCUGGGCGUCGGCAGGCAGGCUGCCGGGCACGGGCGGCAGCGCAAACUCCUGCAUAGGGACGAAAAUGCAAUGGAAAUCAGCAAGCCGAGAUUAAUAAUCAGUGGAAACUUACGCAUCAGUACACUUGCACUUCAGUACGCAUCCUACUACCGGGAGGAUACGGUAAGGCAGGCAGGCAGAGGCCAUCGAUUUCACGCUUGCCCCAGCUUUCCGUACGAUGUACCGUAUGCUAGGUUGCUUGACCGGAACCCGUGCAAGACGCACACGGAUAUACCACCGGUGAACAGCCAUGACCGCUCACCUCCAAAGCAGCCGCAGCAGGAGUAGCCGAAACUGUCGCAGUCACGCCCGCCUUCUUCGGCGCGUGCAAGCCCUCCAGCACCACCUUCACCUUGCCGUACACAUCGUCCGGAGCCGCCACAGCGCUGAUCACGUGGCACUUGCCCUGCGUAAGGUAGUGGUCCUUCACAGGCAGCGACUGAUCCAGGAAGGUGCGGAAGCGCUUGCGAAUGGUGUCGGCGUUGUCGUCGCUGCGGCCGCUGGUCUCCCCGCGCUUCAGCAGGCGCUUCUCCAUCUCCUCCUCCGGGCAGUCGAAGAACAGCACCGUCUUGCACGGCAUGAUGCUGCUCUCAAACUGCGCCGCCUGGUCCAGCGCGCGCGGAAAGCCGUCGAUGAGGAAGAACUUGCCGCCGCUGGCUAUCAUGUCCCGCUUCAGCAGGUUAAGCGUGACAGCCACCGGCACGAGCUUGCCCUCCUUCAUCAGCGCCUCGCACUUCUGGCCGACCUCGCUGCCGCUCUUCACCUCAGCGCGCAGCAGGUCGCCGGCGCUGAGGUGCACGCACUCGUAGUCGGCCUUAAUCUUGUCGCAUUGCGUCCCCUUGCCGCUGCCGGGGCCGCCGAGCACGAACACGAUCUGGGCGUCGGCAGGCAGGUUGCCGGGCACAGGUGGCAGCGCGAUGUCCUGCAUAAAAGCAACCAAGGGAACAAACGUGCAAUCAUAAGGUGUUGGCUGUGGCGCCGACCAUGACCCAGUGCCCUUGUACACAAAGCAAUGGGGCGUGCCGUACGCGCCGCACACACAGAACAGCGGUUUGGUGGCUGGAAACAUAAGAUGCGGCACGGUAUCCCUAUCUGCAGGUCGGCUUCUCAAGUGUUCAACUUAGGCAAGACGCACCUCCGAAGCAGCCGGGGCCGCUGCAAGUGCCGUCGCCGCUGCGCUCGCCUUCUUCGGCGCGUGCAAGCCCUCCAGCACCACCUUCACCUUGCCGUACACAUCGUCCGGAGCCGCCACAGCGCUGAUCACGUGGCACUUGCCCUGCGUAAGGUAGUGGUCCUUCACGGGCAGCGACUGAUCCAGGAAGGUGUGGAAGCGCUUGCGAAUGGUGUCGGCGUUGUCGUCGCUGCGGCCGCUGGUCUCCCCGCGCUUCAGCAGGCGCUUCUCCAUCUCCUCCUCCGGGCAGUCAAAGAACAGCACCGUCUUGCACGGCAUGAUGCUGCUCUCAAACUGCUCCGCCUGGUCCAGCGCGCGUGGAAAGCCGUCGAUGAGGAAGAACUUGCCGCCGCUGGCUAUCAUGUCCCGCUUCAGCAGGUUGAGCGUGACAGCCACCGGCACGAGCUUGCCCUCCUUCAUCAGCGCCUCGCACUUCUGGCCAACCUCGCUGCCGCUCUUCACCUCAGCGCGCAGCAGGUCGCCGGCGCUGAGGUGCACGCACUCAUACUCCUCCUUGAUCUGAUCGCAUUGCGUGCCCUUGCCGCUGCCGGGGCCGCCGAGCACGAACACGAUCUGGGCGUCGGCAGGCAGGCUGCCGGGCACGGGCGGCAGCGCAAACUCCUGCAUAGGGACGAAAAUGCAAUGGAAAUCAGCAAGCCGAGAUUAAUAAUCAGUGGAAACUUACGCAUCAGUACACUUGCACUUCAGUACGCAUCCUACUACCGGGAGGAUACGGUAAGGCAGGCAGGCAGAGGCCAUCGAUUUCACGCUUGCCCCAGCUUUCCGUACGAUGUACCGUAUGCUAGGUUGCUUGACCGGAACCCGUGCAAGACGCACACGGAUAUACCACCGGUGAACAGCCAUGACCGCUCACCUCCAAAGCAGCCGCAGCAGGAGUAGCCGAAACUGUCGCAGUCACGCCCGCCUUCUUCGGCGCGUGCAAGCCCUCCAGCACCACCUUCACCUUGCCGUACACAUCGUCCGGAGCCGCCACAGCGCUGAUCACGUGGCACUUGCCCUGCGUAAGGUAGUGGUCCUUCACAGGCAGCGACUGAUCCAGGAAGGUGCGGAAGCGCUUGCGAAUGGUGUCGGCGUUGUCGUCGCUGCGGCCGCUGGUCUCCCCGCGCUUCAGCAGGCGCUUCUCCAUCUCCUCCUCCGGGCAGUCGAAGAACAGCACCGUCUUGCACGGCAUGAUGCUGCUCUCAAACUGCGCCGCCUGGUCCAGCGCGCGCGGAAAGCCGUCGAUGAGGAAGAACUUGCCGCCGCUGGCUAUCAUGUCCCGCUUCAGCAG